rnacentral:rRNA from 1 species
UAGGGAAUCUUCCACAAUGGGCGAAAGCCUGAUGGAGCAACGCCGCGUGUGUGAUGAAGGGUUUCGGCUCGUAAAACACUGUUGUAAGAGAAGAAUGACGUUGAGAGUAACUGUUCAAUGUGUGACGGUAUCUUACCAGAAAGGAACGGCUAAAUACGUGCCA